rnacentral:rRNA from 1 species
AUUGGGGUUUGAUCAUGGCUCAGAGCGAACGCUGGCGGCAGGCUUAACACAUGCAAGUCGAACGGGCGUAGCAAUACGUCAGUGGCAGACGGGUGAGUAACGCGUGGGAACGUACCUUUUGGUUCGGAACAACACAGGGAAACUUGUGCUAAUACCGGAUAAGCCCUUACGGGGAAAGAUUUAUCGCCGAAAGAUCGGCCCGCGUCUGAUUAGCUUGUUGGUGAGGUAACGGCUCACCAAGGCGACGAUCAGUAGCUGGUCUGAGAGGACGAUCAGCCACACUGGGACUGAGACACGGCCCAGACUCCUACGGGAGGCAGCAGUAGGGAAUCUUGCGCAAUGGGCGAAAGCCUGACGCAGCGACGCCGCGUGAGGGAAGAAGGCCUUCGGGUUGUAAACCUCUUUCAGGAGGGACGAAGCCACUCGGGUUAAUAGCCCAGAGGGUGACGGUACCUCCAGAAGAAGCCCCGGCUAACUACGUGCCAGCAGCCGCGGUAA